UUUAACUGAGCGUUCAGUUACUUGACGUAGACCCGAAACCGGGCGACCUACCCAUGAGCAGGAUGAAGCGAAAGUAAAAUUUCGUGGAGGUCCGAACCCACGAGCGUUGAAAAGCUCGGGGAUGACUUGUGGGUAGCGGUGAAAUUCCAAUCGAGCCCGGAGAUAGCUGGUUCUCCCCGAAAUAGCUUUAGGGCUAGCCUCAAGGUGAGAGAUACGGAGGUAGAGCACUGAAUGUCCUAGGGGGUAUUGCACCUACCGAAGACUAUCAAACUCCGAAUGCCGUCAUCUUAUACUUGGGAGUCAGACUGUGGGUGAUAAGAUUCAUAGUCGAAAGGGCAACAGCCCAGAUCGUCAGCUAAGGUCCCUAAAUGUAAGUUAAGUGGUAAAGGAUGUGGGAUUGCACAGACAACCAGGAUGUUGGCUUAGAAGCAGCCACUCAUUCAAAGAGUGCGUAAUAGCUCACUGGUCGAGUGAUCCUGCGCCGAAGAUUUCCGGGGCUAAAACUUACUACCGAAGCUACGGCAUCAGUAAUGAUGGGUAGGGGAGCUUCCCAUACGGGUUGAAGCAUGACCGUAAGGACAUGUGGACAGUAUGGGAGUGAGAAUGUUGGCAUGAGUAGCGAGAUGUGGGUGAGAAUCCCACAGGCCGUAAACCCAAGGUUUCCAGGGGAAGGUUCGUCCGCCCUGGGUUAGUCGGGACCUAAGCUGAGGCCGAAAGGCGUAGGUGAUGGACAACAGGUUGAUAUUCCUGUACUACCGAUAACCGUUUGAGAGAAGGGAUGACACAGUAGGAUAAGCUAAGCACACUGUUGGUUAUGUGUGCCCAAGCAUUGAGGCAGUCAAAGUAGGCAAAUCCGCUUUGAUAAUGCUAGGAUGUGAUGGGGAGCGAAAUUUAGUAGCGAAGUAGCUGAUUUCACACUGUCAAGAAAAGUCUCUAUCGAGGUUAAAGGUACCCGUACCGCAAACCGACACAGGUGGGUGAGGAGAGUAUCCU
rnacentral:rRNA from 1 species